UAUAGAUGGAUCCGCGCUGCAUUAGCUAGUUGGUAAGGUAACGGCUUACCAAGGCAACGAUGCAUAGCCGACCUGAGAGGGUGAUCGGCCACACUGGAACUGAGACACGGUCCAGACUCCUACGGGAGGCAGCAGUAGGGAAUCUUCCGCAAUGGGCGAAAGCCUGACGGAGCAACGCCGCGUGAGUGAUGAAGGUCUUCGGAUCGUAAAACUCUGUUAUUAGGGAAGAACAUAUGUGUAAGUAACUGUGCACAUCUUGACGGUACCUAAUCAGAAAGCCACGGCUAACUACGUGCCAGCAGCCGCGGUAAUAC
rnacentral:rRNA from 1 species